CAGGUAUAGCACCAUAUACAUGUGUAUAUUAAGUAUGGCACACAUGAAUGAAUUGGGACCUAAUCAACGUAUUGUGUUCAAAGAAGACUUAAUGAAUCCAGCAGUUCAAAAACAUGUUUUGCAGCGAGACGAAUGGCGGCAAAUGAUGGCUUUGUGGCGGUUAGUGAAAAACUGUGGCAUUUUACACUGAUGAUGGCUAACAUUUACAGAAAAUUUCUCAACCAAUAGUGACAUUCAGUUGAAAGUAAUAGCAUAUCUUACACUGACUACACAUCAGAAGAUUUUUGAAAAAAAAACAUGGCAAAAAAGUAGAAAAUAUUGAUAUACUUCAAUGACUUUUGAACUGAGUAGAAAAUGGUGACAUUUUAGCACCAUAUUGUGUGUGUACUUUUUCUGGCAUCCGCGCAGUCCGGUUAGGAUCCAUGCUGUUCGCUAAUGGUUUCUCUGGUUGCAAUAGCAUUUGAAAGCGAAUAGCAUGGAUCCUGACCAGAUCGCGCAGAUGCGCAGGCUGGUCGCAAAGCAACUAUGUUGGUUUUCACCUGGCACGGCUCAUAUAUAAAUUUGUUUCAUGCAUGUAAAUAAUGUUUUGUUUAUGGUAUUUUUUCAGCAAAUGUAAUGAAACACUAAAAAAACAUAAAAUAUUUUGUUAGUGUUUUGUUUAAAAUUGUAACCUAGCUCUUUUGCAUAUCAUAUGUUUUAUUAGUAUUUUGUUAGCAGUGUUUUGUUAGUGUUUUCUUUAGCACAUAUAAUGAAACACUAACAAAACAUAAAGUAUUCUGUUAGUGUUUUGUAUAAACCUGUAACAUAAUUUGCAUAUCAUGUUUUGUUGGUAUUUCGUUAGCAAUGUUUUGUUAGUGUUUUGUUACCUCAUUUGCAUGUCAUUUGCUAUACUAAUAAAACAUCAUCAAAACACA